GAUGAAGAACGUAGCGAAAUGCGAUAAGUAAUGUGAAUUGCAGAAUUCCGUGAAUCAUCGAAUCUUUGAACGCAUAUUGCGCCCCCUGGUAUUCCGGGGGGCAUGCCUGUCCGAGCGUCAUUGCUGCCCUCAAGCACGGCUUGUGUGUUGGGCCCCGCCCCCCGGCUCCCGGGGGGCGGGCCCGAAAGGCAGCGGCGGCACCGCGUCCGGUCCUCGAGCGUAUGGGGCUUCGUCACCCGCUCCGUAGGCCCGGCCGGCGCCCGCCGGCGACCCCCCUCAAUCUUUUCAGGUUGACCUCGGAUCAGGUAGGGAUACCCGCUGAACUUAAGCAUAUCAAUAAGCGGAGGA
rnacentral:misc_RNA from 1 species